rnacentral:rRNA from 1 species
AGUCGAACGCACAGCGAAAGGUGCUUGCACCUUUCAAGUGAGUGGCGAACGGGUGAGUAACACGUGGAUAACCUACCUCAAGGUUGGGGAUAACAUUUGGAAACAGAUGCUAAUACCGAAUAAAACUUAGUAUCGCAUGAUACCAGGUUAAAAGGCGCUACGGCGUCACCUAGAGAUGGAUCCGCGGUGCAUUAGUUAGUUGGUGGGGUAAAGGCCUACCAAGACAAUGAUGCAUAGCCGAGUUGAGAGACUGAUCGGCCACAUUGGGACUGAGACACGGCCCAAACUCCUACGGGAGGCUGCAGUAGGGAAUCUUCCACAAUGGGCGAAAGCCUGAUGGAGCAACGCCGCGUGUGUGAUGAAGGCUUUCGGGUCGUAAAGCACUGUUGUAUGGGAAGAACAGCUAGAGUAGGGAAUGACUUUAGUUUGACGGUACCAUACCAGAAAGGGACGGCUAAAUACGUGCCAGCAGCCGCGGUAAUACGUAUGUCCCGAGCGUUAUCCGGAUUUAUUGGGCGUAAAGCGAGCGCAGACGGUUAAUUAAGUCUGAUGUGAAAGCCCGGAGCUCAACUCCGGAAAGGCAUUGGAAACUGGUUAACUUGAGUGCAGUAGAGGUAAGUGGAACUCCAUGUGUAGCGGUGGAAUGCGUAGAUAUAUGGAAGAACACCAGCGGCGAAGGCGGCUUACUGGACUGUAACUGACGUUGAGGCUCGAAAGUGUGGGUAGCAAACAGGAUUAGAUACCCUGGUAGUCCACACCGUAAACGAUGAACACUAGGUGUUAGGAGGUUUCCGCCUCUUAGUGCCGAAGCUAACGCAUUAAGUGUUCCGCCUGGGGAGUA